UGAGUUGGCUGGGCGGCCGCGGAAUCCAGGUUCACCUGGUUUUCGAGGAAAGUCCGGACUUCACAGAGCAGGGUGAUUGCUAACGGCAAUCCGAGGUGACUCGCGGGAAAGUGCCACAGAAAACAGACCGCCACCACCGGGUCUUCGGACUCGCCGGAGGUAAGGGUGAAACGGUGCGGUAAGAGCGCACCAGCAUUCCGGGUGACCGGAGUGGCUAGGCAAACCCCACCCGAAGCAAGGCCAAGAAGGCCGCAACCUGGUUGCGGCCGCGCAGGCGCCCGAGGGUUGCUCGCCCGAGCCUGCGGGUAGGCCGCUCGAGGCACCCGGCGACGGUGUGUCCAGAUGGAUGGUCGCCACCUCGCCGCCGCGGUCAGCCGCGGUGGUGCGGGACAGAAUCCGGCUUACAGGCCAACUCGUUCC
rnacentral:RNase_P_RNA from 1 species